rnacentral:lncRNA from 12 species
AUAAAUUAAUUAACCAUGUGUGGGUGGAUUUAGGGCAUUUCUGAUAAGUAGGAAUCUUUAUGUUGUUUUUCUAUUUCUUUUCUUUUUAAAAAUAUUUAAUUUAUUUUUUGACAGAGAGGGAGAGUGAGUGACCACAAGCAAGGGGAGUGACAGAGGGAGAGAGAGAAGCAGGCACUCCAUUGAGCAGGGAGUCUGAUGAAGGGCUCAAAAUGAGGACCCUGGGAUUAUGACCCAAGCUGAAGGCAGAUGCUUAACCAACUGAGCCACCCAGGGACCCCUUAUGUUGUUUUUCUAGUCCCUCCAAUUAGACAUUGGAUAGACUGACUUUGUUUCACACCUUUAAUCGUGACUAGCUGCUACUCUGCCUCUGAUUAUUUUGACAUUGGCUCUUCCCAGUUGGCUUCCGCAUUUGGAAGCACAUUAGAAGCCCUUUACCACCAAGUUAUAUUUUGCAAAAGAAUUGUGGGGACUUCAUUGAUUUUUGCAUUCAGUUUUCUGUACAAUUGUUAAAGUCAAUAGAUAUUUAACCCUUUCUGUGUAUAAGGAAGGGCCAAAGUCUGUCAUAUAUUAUGUUAAAAUUAAAUAUUACAGAGUGUAUCCAAUUUGAGACACAAUUAAGUCACUCUAGCCAGAGAUGGAAACUAUCUUAUUGGUGUUACAUUGUUCUUUGCUUUACAUGAUUUCUAGGUGGUGACCAUUGGGGCUUUCCUUUUCUUUGUGGAUUAAAUGAUCUCCUAUUAGACCCAUAUGUGGAAUUCUAAGUAUUCAACUGGUUUCUUCACUCUUUGUUGCGGCGGGGACACAGCUGGUCCUGAGAAGGCAUCAUACUCAGACAAGCCUGCAAGAUUGCAUUCAUUCCUGUUGGUGAGUCCUAAGCUUUAGAGUAUCUACCACAUUAAACAUAUGUGGGCAAUGCAUAGAAAGGUUAGUGCUUUGCUACUUAAAGUGUGGUCUUUGACAUCACCUAGGAAUUUGCUAGAUAUGUAGGACCUAAGGCCUUGCCUCAGGCCUUCUGAAUCAGAAUCUGCAUUUCAAUAGGAUCUAUGCUUUACCUGUUUGAGUUAGGUUUCUGCCCCUAACAAAAGAAGCAAAAGUUCUCUAUAACACCGAUAGCUGUUAGAAAAGGAGGGCUGUUGUGAGAGAAUUGUUUGCAAGUUCAAGUACUGGCUUGUAACUCAAGAAAACUCAAAGCAAAUUCUGUUU